CUGACGCACGCGAGCACGUGGUCGUGGUUUGCGAAUGUGACUGAUAUUUUGACUUUAGUGCUUUUGUUGGGCGGCUUACUACGGCCUUGUGGCGGUGGCCGGGGUGUGGACGAACCUUGGGCGUGACCACCGUGCCCUGUGAGCCGCGGCAGCAGGUGACGCGGGGAGAGGCAAGGCUGGUGGCCACGCUGUGACGGCCCACGUGUGAACCUGCCAGGCGUCAGGGCUGUGCGGCGGGUCACGUGCACCAGCUUUUCAGAGAGAUGCUUUAGACUGAUAAAAGAACCAGUGCGGAUGAUCAGUGACGGGGAGGACGGAAAGGAGGGACGGACGAAGCAACACAACGCAGCGAAAAAGGGCUUGCGUGGAAGGAGUCAGUGAUUGAAAGCAGUUUGGAGAGACUUAGGAUGGAGAUGACAGGCCUCCCACACUCCCUCCCCUCCUCCUCCUCCUCCUCCUUCUCCUUUUCCCCCGCCUCCUCCUCAAGGUGGGGUCUGGUGGUCGGCCCCCGCCUGUUAUGGCGCAGGCAAGUGUUUAUAGUGGCGCCAUCUUGCUUGGCUCAUGCUGCCCACCGAGCUCAUCUUCGAUCAUCUGUUUAGAGAGAAUAGAGUCCGGGUUGAUAGGUGGUCUUCAGGACAGCAUGUGGGUAGUCGCCACUCGGAAGUGACUGGAAAACUGCCAGCUUGUUUGUAGCGGGACGCGAACCCUCGUCCUUCAGGGCGCCCCGCACGCACGCUGACCACUCAGCCACUAGUUUUUGUUGUUUUUUUAUCUAUUUUUUCCUUAUAUUUCUAUCAUGUUUACUGCGACGGUGAUCAGAACUGCAAGGACUAACAUUGCAUUGCUUUUUAUAUCAACAUCAUUAUAAUCAUUGUUUUUAUACGUAUAGUAUUUGUCUACCCCUUAUUGUGAGUCGAAUAGUUACCUGUAUUUAUUUUUACUCUUUGAUACCAUUACACUGUUGUGUCUUGCAUGGUAACGAGGCGCUGUGUUAGUAUUCAGUAUUCAGUAGCGUCACCUACAGGGCGAGCCAGCAAGCAGGCGCCCUGAAUAAUGGAACAGACAGCGGUGGAAGGUGUUCUCUUGACACCUGAGAGCAAAAGGUGGACUUGGCGGUGGCUGGUAAUAAAGUCACAGGGAAGAAAAAAAGUCACAGGAAAAAAGUCACAAUUUUGGCUAGGAAAAAAAAUCACAGGAAAAAGUUACAAUCUAGGAACCUAGAAAAAAAAGUCAGGUAAUCAAACAAAAACUUUUAAGUCAGUCUCCAGACCGAAGGAUGGUAGUGACCAACGAGGUUGAAGAAUUUAUUAUUCCAGCCUUCGUCUAUGUUGUUGGUGCGGGCAUUGUUGUUCAGGGUGGCGUCAUGCACAUUCCAUAGGUGAAGGGUAAACAUAGGUGGAAUGUGACGCUUUCUCAGAGGCAUCAGGGCAUCACUGGACAUGGCAACUGGCUGCUGCAUCAGUCGAAAGUAGCCACUAACAUAAGUACAAUCAAAGUACCUGAGCAACUCCUUGGCUUCAGGUGGUUGUUGUGGAAGGAUAGUUUUGAGGUACCUCAUACCUUCAUCAACUCUCUUCCUCUUACUGACGGCCUUCUACCUCUUAAAUUCCGCCGCCAUGUUGCUUCUCUAGCUUCUAUCGAUAUUUUCACGCUGACUGCUCUUCUGAACUUGCUAACUGCAUGCCUCCCCCCUUCCCGCGGCCCCGCUGCACACGACUUUCUACUCAUGCUCAUCCCUAUACUGUCCAAACCCCUUAUGCAAAAGUUAACCAGCAUCUCCAUUCUUUCAUCCCCUUCACUGGUAAACUCUGGAACAGUCUUCCUUCGUCUGUAUUUCCUCCUGCCUAUGACUUAACCUCUUUCAAGAAGAGUGUAUCAAGACACCUCUCAACCCGGAAUUGACCUCCCUUUUGGCUACUCUUUACUUUUUACUUUUGUGGGAGCGGCGAGUAGCGGGCUUUUCUUUUGUACUCAUUUUGCUGCCCUUGAGCCGCAUCCUUUGAUGUAAAAAAAAUGUUCUCUAGGGACAAAAAAGCUAGAGCAUCAGCCAUGCCACAAAACAAACGAAACUCGGCAUUGUUAUUAUACUGUUUCCAAACCCAGUUCCUGGAUCUUGCGCCAAGGGGACCACAUAAGAGGAUGGAAACAACCUUUGCUCUCCAUGUCGCGGCCAAACACUGCAGGAACAGCAGCUACACCAUCUUCAAAGUCAGUCACCAAGGCUUGCACAUUAAAAGAUAGUUGAGGUCUGCACACUCAUCAAGUAUAGCCUGAAAGGGUUCUUUGUAGGUGGCACGAGUCUUGUUUGGAUGAUGAGUGUACGCAGAAGUGAUUGCUGUAUUACCGAAAGGCACACGAUGACAUGAAUCUGUUUGAAAAUAUUUGGAUCUUUAGCAAAAUUCCCAUUUAUAUAUAAAGUAAAAAAAAG